UACGUAGGGGGCAAGCGUUGUCCGGAAUUAUUGGGCGUAAAGCGCGCGCAGGCGGUCAUUUAAGUCCGAUGUAUAAACCCGAGGCUCAACCUUGGGAGGCAUUGGAAACUGGGCGACUGGAGUGUAGGAGAGGAAAGUGGAAUUCCACGUGUAGCGGUGAAAUGCGUAGAGAUGUGGAGGAACACCAGUGGCGAAGGCGACUUUCUGGCCUAUAACUGACGCUGAGGCGGCGAAAGCGAUGGGGAG
rnacentral:rRNA from 1 species